UACUUCAUUACUGAAGGUCCGUGUCCCUA
rnacentral:sRNA from 1 species